rnacentral:rRNA from 1 species
AUGAACGCUAGCGACAGGCUUAACACAUGCAAGUCGAGGGGCAGCACAGGUAGCAAUACCGGGUGGCGACCGGCGCACGGGUGAGUAACGCGUAUGCAACUUGCCUAUCAGAGGGGGAUAACCCGGCGAAAGUCGGACUAAUACCGCAUGAAGCAGGGGCCCCGCAUGGGGAUAUUUGCUAAAGAUUCAUCGCUGAUAGAUAGGCAUGCGUUCCAUUAGGCAGUUGGCGGGGUAACGGCCCACCAAACCGACGAUGGAUAGGGGUUCUGAGAGGAAGGUCCCCCACAUUGGUACUGAGACACGGACCAAACUCCUACGGGAGGCAGCAGUGAGGAAUAUUGGUCAAUGGCCGAGAGGCUGAACCAGCCAAGUCGCGUGAGGGAUGAAGGUUCUAUGGAUCGUAAACCUCUUUUAUAAGGGAAUAAAGUGCGGGACGUGUCCCGUUUUGUAUGUACCUUAUGAAUAAGGAUCGGCUAACUCCGUGCCAGCAGCCGCGGUAAUACGGAGGAUCCGAGCGUUAUCCGGAUUUAUUGGGUUUAAAGGGUGCGUAGGCGGCCUUUUAAGUCAGCGGUGAAAGUCUGUGGCUCAACCAUAGAAUUGCCGUUGAAACUGGGGGGCUUGAGUAUGUUUGAGGCAGGCGGAAUGCGUGGUGUAGCGGUGAAAUGCAUAGAUAUCACGCAGAACCCCGAUUGCGAAGGCAGCCUGCCAAGCCAUUACUGACGCUGAUGCACGAAAGCGUGGGGAUCAAACAGGAUUAGAUACCCUGGUAGUCCACGCAGUAAACGAUGAUCACUAGCUGUUUGCGAUACACUGUAAGCGGCACAGCGAAAGCGUUAAGUGAUCCACCUGGGGAGUACGCCGGCAACGGUGAAACUCAAAGGAAUUGACGGGGGCCCGCACAAGCGGAGGAACAUGUGGUUUAAUUCGAUGAUACGCGAGGAACCUUACCCGGGUUUGAACGCAUUCGGACCGAGGUGGAAACACCUUUUCUAGCAAUAGCCGUUUGCGAGGUGCUGCAUGGUUGUCGUCAGCUCGUGCCGUGAGGUGUCGGCUUAAGUGCCAUAACGAGCGCAACCCUUGCCACUAGUUACUAACAGGUAAAGCUGAGGACUCUGGUGGGACUGCCAGCGUAAGCUGCGAGGAAGGCGGGGAUGACGUCAAAUCAGCACGGCCCUUACAUCCGGGGCGACACACGUGUUACAAUGGCGUGGACAAAGGGAAGCCACCUGGCGACAGGGAGCGAAUCCCCAAACCACGUCUCAGUUCGGAUCGGAGUCUGCAACCCGACUCCGUGAAGCUGGAUUCGCUAGUAAUCGCGCAUCAGCCAUGGCGCGGUGAAUACGUUCCCGGGCCUUGUACACACCGCCCGUCAAGCCAUGGGAGCCGGGGGUACCUGAAGUCCGUAACCGCAAGGAUCGGCCUAGGGUAAAACUGGUGACUGGGGCU